GCAUAUCAAUAAGCGGAGGAAAAGAAACCAACAGGGAUUACCUCAGUAACGGCGAGUGAAGCGGUAACAGCUCAAAUUUGAAAUCUGGCUCCUCGGGGCCCGAAUUGUAAUUUGUAGAAGAUGCUUUGGGUCUGGGCCUGGCCUAAGUUCCUUGGAACAGGACGUCGUAGAGGGUGAGAAUCCCGUAUGCGGCUGGCGCCCGUGCCCGUGUAAAGCUCUUUCAACGAGUCGAGUUGUUUGGGAAUGCAGCUCUAAAUGGGUGGUAAAUUUCAUCUAAAGCUAAAUAUUGGCCAGAGACCGAUAGCGCACAAGUAGAGUGAUCGAAAGAUGAAAAGCACUUUGGAAAGAGAGUUAAACAGUACGUGAAAUUGUUGAAAGGGAAGCGCUGGCAACCAGACUUGGGCGCUGUUGAUCCGCUAGGGUUCUCUCUAGGGCACUCGGCAGUGCGCAGGCCAGCAUCGGUUUGGGGGGUUGGAGAAUGGCUGGUGGAAUGUGGCUGUCUUUGGGCAGUGUUAUAGCCACCGGUGGCAUGCAGCCUCCCCGGACCGAGGACCGCGCUUCGGCUAGGAUGCUGGCGUAAUGGUUGUCAGCGACCCGUCUUGAAACACGGACC
rnacentral:rRNA from 1 species